rnacentral:rRNA from 1 species
CACGCUGUAAACGAUGAAAACUAAGUAUUGCCGCGAGGCAGUGCUGUAGCUAACGCAUUAAGUUUUCCGCCUGGGGAGUACGCUCGCAAGAGUGAAACUUAAAGGAAUUGACGGGGGCCCGCACAAGCGGUGGAGCAUGUGGUUUAAUUCGAAGCAACGCGAAGAACCUUACCAGGCCUUGACAUCCAAUGAACUUUCUAGAGAUAGAUUGGUGCCUUCGGGAACAUUGAGACAGGUGC